UACAGAGGGGGCAAGCGUUGUUCGGAAUUACUGGGCGUAAAGGGCGCGUAGGCGGCCUGCUAAGUCGGAUGUGAAAUCCCUCGGCUCAACCGAGGAACUGCAUCCGAUACUGGCGGGCUUGAAUCCGGGAGAGGGAUGUGGAAUUCCAGGUGUAGCGGUGAAAUGCGUAGAUAUCUGGAGGAACACCGGUGGCGAAGGCGGCAUCCUGGACCGGUAUUGACGCUGAGGCGCGAAAGCCAGGGGAGCAAACGGG
rnacentral:rRNA from 1 species